GGGGGGGGGGGGGGAACCGUCCAAACUUCGCCCACACGCACUACAUUUCUUUGGCUGGAAUCUCGUACUGUAACUCCGAUUCCAUUUCUUGCUCCAGUUUCCGUCUGUCUGUCUGUCUCUUCCCUCUAUUGACAGAGUUAAGUAACCCCUUCUCCUCUCUUUCACUCAAACCUUUCUUCGUCUUCUGGUCUUCUCUAUAAAAAGGAAUCAGAGCCAGUCGAUGUUAUCAGAUCGUGCUCGUCCACUUUCUCUAGAAGUGUCUCUGAGAAUUUGAGAUCAGGGCGAGUUGUUGAUGCUUUUUAGUUCUGAGAAUCAGGUGAGAGGCUAGCGGCGGCGAGUAGCUAUUCGUAGUCUCCAUACAUAAAAGCCGAAUAUCGUUUCUUCUCGUGCUGUCCGGGAAUCUCAGCAGGACUAGGACAACAUGGGACACGUUAUAGUGAUUUCGGUACCAACUAUCCUGUUCAUCCUGAUCGUUGCCCUGGCGAGUUACCUUAUCUAUAGGGAAUACAAGCGAAGGCGAGCAGCUCGGGCUUCACAGUACCUAGGGCCUCCUGCCCCGCCGACUUACGCUCAUGCAUAGCCCCGCAGGCGCGAAAUCUACUUGUAUGCUGCGACUUCUCUUUGUUGCAUUCUCUGUUCUAUCAUACCGAUUUAUAUCUCGUCCUUGUGUGUUUUGAGAAACGUACCUGUACGCAUUAUUUACUGUGGGUUCAUAGGAUUUUGCUGUUAUCCGAAUACUGUAGUCAUGAUCUUUCAUUUCGAUCUGUAUUGCUAAUCUUGACCACUUGAUUGAAUGAUUUGGUAACUUACACAGA